AAGACUCGUUACCGCCCCUUAUAUGGGGGCAGAGAGACAACCACUCGGGGAUCACCGUAGCACAGGGUUGUUAGCCUGGGGCUUGUGAGUUUGCUUUUUACAAUUUUUUCUUGAUAACUCCACUUGAGUGGAAUAUGCUUCCUUUGGCAUCAUUUAACGACAUGCUCUGAGAAGCCUUAGGUUUCAGCUGGCUGCCACAAAGGUCAAGUACUAGGUUCAGAAGCCUCUCUGUGGAGGAUUGCCCUGCUCACCCUGAACAGCGAAGCUUCCUUCCUAAGGGCGGAGCUUUCCAAGAUCCAGAGCCAGCACUUAGAGGGUUAAAAGUCCUG
rnacentral:lncRNA from 1 species